ensembl:antisense
GCGCUUGCGCAGGACGGAGAGCUGCUCAGGGUCUGUGGGUCGGAUGUCUAGUGGUCACACCCGCGGGGAAGAUCUUCUAGCGGAAACGGAAUCUGCUCCUUUCGGGAAAGGCUGAUUGCGCGGUUACGUGCAGCGUGUGUUGAGGAGUGGCUCUGGAAACUUAAAGAGCCCGACGAUCAAGUGAUCUUGCCAGCUACCGUUUUAAUCAACAUGUUUUAUUUUGUUGUGGUACAGGCUCAGAGCCCAAUGCAAGCCCUGGCAGAUGUCUUCAACACCAGAGUGACACUCAGCCUGAAGGCCAGGAUUGAAGGCUGGAAGUACAGGGGCAAGAAAUACCUUUGAAAAUACACCCUUGUCCAAACUGCUCACUGGUGAGCUGCCUGUGAGCCAGGGCAUGAGGCUUUGGUGGGGUCACUACUUUUCAUUCCCUCCAAGAUGGACAAGAUGUUUGUUUUGUGCACAGUAAGUGGAACAUGGGGCCUCCGGCAGGGUGCUUGUAUGUCCUCUUCAGAAACUAAGGAAUGGAGCAGUGUCUUGAACAUGCUACACAAGCCCCCUAACAGCAAGCGAAUCUAGCAGCUCUACAGACAUCCUUUCACUGAGCAGUUAUUUCUCCUCCGAUGUUCUGGUCGCUGGGGGCAGCCUCCAAACACUUUUUGAAAAAGCUGGAGAGAAAGGCGAGCUUGAAAAGGGGAAUGCAGGAGGCAAAGGGAGAGAAGCAGGCUCAAAUGUGUUCAUCUCAACAGGGCUGGGGCCUGCAGGCUGCUGGCAGCACCAAGCUAAGGUGCAUUUCCACUCAACAGAAAGGCCUUCAUCCUAAACCAAGGGGGCAGAGGUUAAUGCUUUAUAUAUAUUUAUAUAUUUAUAUAUUACAUAUGUCCCAUAUGUAUAGAGUGACAAGAAUGGGCUACUUUGUGUAACUUUAACUAAAGGCCAUAGCAACAGACAUAGAAAUUUGAUCCUAAUUAAGGCCCGUACUUUGUCAAUCAAAUGUCUGAUACAGUAAAAGAAAAAGGAGAGAGACAGAGACUGAGAUCCAGCCACCUCCGGUAGUCCUGUCUCCAGGGUAUCUUACAUUGAGUGCAGUGCCCCCUGUACAGGUAAACAUAAACACACACACAUAAACACACACAUAUAAUACCACAGGCAGGAGCACCUCUUCUGACCACACCUUGGGCCCAGCCUUUGGCUGCGGUGCUGAAGUGGGGUAUAUUGUGCUAUAAGACUGUGAGGUUAGUGGACCAGACAAUGUGGAGUCAGUGUGUCCAAGUGAUGAAUGGGGUGACUCAUGCAGCUUCAUCUACAAAUGACAGAGAGGUCAGGGGGAGGUCCCUCAAUGCCCAGUUCACAUCAGGAGAUUUCUACACACAGCUCCUGUUCCAGAGAAAGCCAUUCCUCUGAUUUGAAUCCUGAGUAUCAAUCACAGGGUUCUGACAGAAACCUAGGAUUCCCUUGAAGGGCAGGCAGCCGCAAGGCUCAGCCAUUCAGUCCAGUGGAGCAGUAGAGAGCACAACAGUGGAGUCAAAGCAAGUGAUGCUCAGACAGGACCUUGAAUGGUGCAAGAGGGACUCAUUUCCCAAAGGACGAGAAGGGCCUGCUGCCCUUUGCCACACAGAACUUCUGGCAGAUCUGUCAGCUUCAUGUCUUACAUAAGUAACAGACCUGCUCAUAAGCCAGGGAAGGAGACUCCCAACAUUAGGGCACUGGAAAUCCUAACUCCCUGUUUUCUCUCCCCAAAUUUACCCACUACCACCCACCAAAGUAUGCAUAUUGAAAAUAAGUCAACAUAUUUGGCAGUAUGAUUUUUAGUACUAAGAGAAUUUCUUAAUUUUUCAACCUAAUUUUAUACUCAAUAAAUAAUAAUUAA